CGCAGCAACGCCGCGUGAGUGAUGAAGGUCUUCGGAUUGUAAAGCUCUGUCUUUGGGGACGAUAAUGACGGUACCCAAGGAGGAAGCCACGGCUAACUACGUGCCAGCAGCCGCGGUAAUAAGGGAA
rnacentral:rRNA from 1 species